ensembl:lncRNA
CUGGCUCAGCUCUGAAAGACCUGGUCAGGGUAGCUGCGACCGAAAGACCAGCAAAGUGCUAUGGGGGUUAGGGGUGGACGGAGAGGGAUGAAUGGGGGAGGCUGUCGGGGGAGGAGGCAAAGGAACAUGAAUUUCAACUGGGAAAACCCUAAUUCCCGCUUUGAUUCAUUUAAGGAGGGGAAAAACCACUCAGCGAAGGCUCUCUCCAAAACCCAAGACUGUCCAGGUGGCCUGUGAGGCCCCCAAAGUUGCUUGAGGCCCAGCGUGAACCCCAGGUCUGACGGUUAAACUCCUACUCCUUGUCUCCUUACGGGGAUGCCCAGACUGGCUAUUAAGACUGCAUGAAUCAAUGAGUCAAUCAGGUCAGGAGACAAGAAGUAUGCAGAGAAGAAAAUCUGCAGUCAUUCCCGGGACAGAGGGUGGAUCUCCCUUCCCAGUCAUCACUGUUAUCUGUUAUUACUUGUACAAGGAGGGGGCAUAGGAAUCUAGUUAUAGCUUUCUCAGACUUGUAAGUUCUGUUUACCUUCCGAACAGACUUCCCUCUCCCUCCGGGAGCCAGAAACCGUUACCCACAAUCACACACCGAGCUUUGGAGGCCAAGACUUGCACUCCAUUGGUCCCAGCUUUCCCAGUAACUGUUGUCAUAAGCACGUGACCAUAUACGUGUGCUACCACGCCUGGUUUGUAAUGUUUAGAUUUAUUUUACGUGUACGAGUGUUUUGCCUGUAUGCAUGUACAUAUACCACAUGCAUGCCUGCUGUCCAAAGAAGCCGGAAGAGGGUGUGGGAGCUCCGGAACUGGAGAUGUAGAUGAUCUUGAGCCAUUGUGUGGGUGUUGGGAACCAACCCCGUAUCCUCUACAGAAGCAGCAAGCGCUCUUAACGCCAGCCACCUCUCCAGCCCCAGGGCAUUUUGGUGAAGAACCAGAUAUGGUUUUUGAUGUGGUUGUAAGAGUCACAGCCGUGUGGGGGGGGGGGGGCGGGUUUCCAAUUUGUGAGAGUCCCUCCCUCUCUCUGUGGAAGAGAGGACAAAGCUUGCUCCACGCAUACUGGGCGCCUAGAGCCCCGCCCACUUUUGCUUUAGAACCGAACCUGAGUUUAUGCAUCCGGUAGGCUCAGUCCCAACUGCAGGACUCCAUCAUUGCCGCCCCAGUCUCCAAAAUGUCCGUACAGAUCAACCCCGAGAGUGAAGUGAAUCCAACAGUGACAUCGACAGCGUAGACUAAUAUGUUAAAACGCUGGCUGCAGAGAAGAACCCGCUGCUCUAAGAAGGUUCCGCUAUCACGAAUGGGACUUCCGUUCUGUGUUCCCCCGUUCAAGAGAGCCGGAGACACUUGGCUGAGCUUUUUAAAUCUUUCUUUAACUGAUAUCUCACUUGUUAAAAUCUGUUGUCUGUUAUGUACACGGUAUGGCCAUAGGCAUCAAAUCUGUAUGUGACUACAUCAGGGCAUCGUGGCCCAAAACCUAGUAGCAGUCUUCAUAAGGUGAAACAGGGGGAUUCCAAGUUCAAGACCAGCCUGGAUUCCUUAGUAAGAUUCUAUCUCAAAAAAAUAAAGAUAUUUGGGAAGGGGAACAUUUGAGAUGUAAAUAAAUAAAAUAAUUCGAAAAGUCAUUAA